CUUUAAAAAUCUGGAUCAAGCUGAAAAUUGAAACGACACACUUAAGGUGUGUUCGAGUCUCUCAAAUUAUCGCAAUGCGGCGAUGUUUUACGAAACAUCUUCGG
rnacentral:sRNA from 15 species